GGCCUUGCGCUCUUUGAGCGGCCGAUGUCAGAUUAGCUAGUUGGUGAGGUAAAGGCUUACCAAGGCGACGAUCUGUAGCGGGUCUGAGAGGAUGAUCCGCCACACUGGAACUGAGACACGGUCCAGACUCCUACGGGAGGCAGCAGUGGGGAAUUUUGGACAAUGGGGGCAACCCUGAUCCAGCCAUGCCGCGUGAGUGAAGAAGGCCUUCGGGUUGUAAAGCUCUUUCGGCCGGGAAGAAAUCGCAUGGGCCAAUACCCUGUGUGGAUGACGGUACCGGAAUAAGAAGCACCGGCUAACUACGUGCCAGCAGCCGCGGUAAUACGUAGGGUGCGAGCGUUAAUCGGAAUUACUGGGCGUAAAGCGUGCGCAGGCGGUUUUGUAAGACAGGCGUGAAAUCCCCGGGCUUAACCUGGGAACUGCGUUUGUGACUGCAAGGCUAGAGUACGGCAGAGGGGGGUGGAAUUCCACGUGUAGCAGUGAAAUGCGUAGAGAUGUGGAGGAACACCAAUGGCGAAGGCAGCCCCCUGGGUCGAUACUGACGCUCAUGCACGAAAGCGUGGGUAGCAAACAGGAUUAGAUACCCUGGUAGUCCACGCCCUAAACUAUGUCAACUAGGUGUUGGGUGGGUAAAACCAUUUAGUACCGUAGCUAACGCGUGAAGUUGACCGCCUGGGGAGUACGGCCGCAAGGUUAAAACUCAAAGGAAUUGACGGGGACCCGCACAAGCGGUGGAUGAUGUGGAUUAAUUCGAUGCAACGCGAAAAACCUUACCUACCCUUGACAUGCCAGGAACUUGCCAGAGAUGGCUUGGUGCCCGAAAGGGAGCCUGGACACAGGUGCUGCAUGGCUGUCGUCAGCUCGUGUCGUGAGAUGUUGGGUUAAGUCCCGCAACGAGCGCAACCCUUGUCGUUAAUUGCCAUCAUUUAGUUGGGCACUUUAACGAGACUGCCGGUGACAAACCGGAGGAAGGUGGGGAUGACGUCAAGUCCUCAUGGCCCUUAUGGGUAGGGCUUCACACGUCAUACAAUGGUCGGUACAAAGGGUUGCCAAGCCGCGAGGCGGAGCCAAUCCCAGAAAGCCGAUCGUAGUCCGGAUUGCAGGCUGCAACUCGCCUGCAUGAAGUCGGAAUCGCUAGUAAUCGUGGAUCAGCAUGUCACGGUGAAUACGUUCCCGGGUCUUGUACACACCGCCCGUCACACCAUGGGAGCGGGUUCCGCCAGAGGUAGGUAGCCUAACCGCAAGGGGGGCGCUUACCACGGCGGGGUUCGUGACUG
rnacentral:rRNA from 1 species